rnacentral:tRNA from 1 species
UCCGAUAUGGUCUAGUGGCUAGGAUUUGCCGCUCUCAUCCAGAGUCAGUUCGCCUCACAGCGCCGGCAAGGCCCGGGUUAGUAACAUCCUCAUCAUCCACUCCAAAAUCCCGUCUAAUAUCUUCAUAGGUUCGAUUCCCGGUGUCGGAA